AUUGAACGAUGGCGGCAGGACUAACACAUGCAAGUAGAGCGGAUGAAGGGAGCUUGCUCCUGGAUUCAGCGGCGGACGGUUGAGUAAUGCCUAGGAAACUGCAUGGUAGUGGGGGAUAACGUCCGGAAACGGGCGCUAAUACCGCAUACGUCCUGAGGGAGGAAGUGGGGGAUCUUCGGACCUCACGCUAUCAGAUGAGCCUAGGUCGGAUUAGCUAGUUGGUGGGGUAAAGGCCUACCAAGGCGACGAUCCGGAACUGGUCUGAGAGGAUGAUCAGUCACACUGGAACUUAGACACGGUCCAUACUCCUACGGGAGGCAGCAGUGGGGAAUAUUGGACAAUGGGCGAAAGCCUGAUCCAGCCAUGCCGCGUGUGUGAAGAAGGUCUUCGGAUUGUAAAGCACUUUAAGUUGGGAGGAAGGGCAGUAAGUUAAUACCUUGCUGUGUUGACGUUACCAACAGAAUAAGCACCGGCUAACUUCGUG
rnacentral:rRNA from 1 species